rnacentral:tRNA from 1 species
GAGGGUAUGGUUCAGUGGUAGAAUGUGUGCUUAGCAUGCAAGAGGUCCUGGGUUCAAUCCCCAGCACUUA